UAAGCGGUAUACCGAAGCUUAGGGUGCACACUUUGUGUGCGCGGUAGAGGAGCGUUCCGUAAGCCUGUGAAGGUGGAUCGUAAGGUCUGCUGGAGGUAUCGGAAGUGCGAAUGCUGACAUGAGUAACGAUAAUGCGGGUGAAAAGCCCGCACGCCGAAAGCCCAAGGUUUCCUUGCGCAACGUUAAUCGACGCAGGGUAAGUCGGCCCCUAAGGCGAGGGCGAAAGCCGUAGUCGAUGGGAAGCUGGUUAAUAUUCCAGCACCGUUUGUAGCUGCGAUGGGGUGACGGAGAAGGGUAGGUGUACCGGGCGUUGGUUGUCCCGGGGAAAGGCGGUAGGCAUGGAUCUUAGGCAAAUCCGGGAUCCUUUAUGCCGAGCACCGAGACGAGUCCUUUUGGACGAAGUCACUGAUCCCACGCUUCCAGGAAAAACCUCUAAGCUUCAGGCUGCAACGACCGUACCGUAAACCGACACAGGUAGGCAGGGUGAGAAUCCCCAGGCGCUUGAGAGAACUCGGGUGAAGGAACUAGGCAACAUAGCACCGUAACUUCGGGAGAAGGUGCGCCCCAGCGUGUGGUGAUAUGCAUCACUGAGCAUGCCGGGGCCGCAGUGACCAGGCCGCUGCGACUGUUUAUCAAAAACACAGCACUCUGCAAACACGAAAGUGGACGUAUAGGGUGUGACGCCUGCCCGGUGC
rnacentral:rRNA from 1 species